rnacentral:rRNA from 1 species
CCUACGGGGGGCAGCAGUGGGGAAUAUUGCACAAUGGGGGGAACCCUGAUGCAGCGACGCCGCGUGAGUGAAGAAGCAUUUCGGUGCGUAAAGCUCUGUCAGCGGGGAAGAAACAGCGUCUGAAAGGACGCGGACGGUACCCGACCAAGAAGCCCCGGCUAACUACGUGCCAGCAGCCGCGGUAAUACGUAGGGGGCAAGCGUUAUCCGGAUUUACUGGGUGUAAAGGGAGCGUAGACGGCGAGACAAGUCUGGAGUGAAAGGCCGGGGCCCAACCCCGGGACUGCUCUGGAAACUGCCUGGCUGGAGUACAGGAGAGGUAAGUGGAAUUCCUAGUGUAGCGGUGAAAUGCGUAGAUAUUAGGAGGAACACCAGUGGCGAAGGCGGCUUACUGGACUGUAACUGACGUUGAGGCUCGAAAGCGUGGGGAGCAAACAG